rnacentral:rRNA from 1 species
ACCGGCGCACGGGUGCGUAACGCGUAUGCACCUACCUUAUACAGAGGGAUAGCCCAGAGAAAUUUGGAUUAAUACCUCAUAGUAAGGCAUCUGUAAAGAUUUAUCGGUAUAAGAUGGGCAUGCGUAAGAUUAGUUAGUUGGUGAGGUAACGGCUCACCAAGACUUCGAUCUUUAGGGGUUCUGAGAGGAUGAUCCCCCACACUGGUACUGAGAUACGGACCAGACUUCUACGGGAGGCAGCAGUAGGGAAUAUUGGUCAAUGGGCGAGAGCCUGAACCAGCCAUGCCGCGUGCAGGAAGACGGCCUUCGGGUUGUAAACUGCUUUUAUAUGGGAAGAAAACGGCCUUGCGAGGCAGAUUGACGGUACCAUAUGAAUAAGCACCGGCUAACUCCGUGCCAGCAGCCGCGGUAAUACGGAGGGUGCAAGCGUUGUCCGGAUUUAUUGGGUUUAAAGGGUACGUAGGCGGCCAAUUAAGUCAGUGGUGAAAGCCAGCAGCUCAACUGUUGAACUGCCAUUGAUACUGAUUGGCUCGAGUUCUGUUAAGGUAGGCGGAAUUGAUGGUGUAGCGGUGAAAUGCAUAGAUACCAUCAGAACACCGAUUGCGAACGCAGCUUACUAGGCAGAACUGACGCUAUGUACGAAAGGGUGGGGAUCGGACCAGAAUAGAUACCUGGGUAGUCCACCCGGA